AUGAUGAUGUCACUGAUUCUACUGCUGGCCACCCUGGGGCUCCUUGUUCAGGGUUCAUCAGGAGAAAUCAUCCUGACUCAGUCUCCUGGAUCUCAGUCUGUUGUUCCAGGACAGACUGUCUCCAUCAGAUGUAAAAGCAGUACACUUAUAGGUGAUGAUAUUGACUGGUACCUUCAGAAACCUGGAGAAGCUCCUAAACUCUUAAUUUAUGAUACUACAAUACGCCAGCCCGGAGUUUCAGAUCGUUUUAGUGCAACGGCACGUCAGACUGACUUCACUCUGACCAUCAGAGAAGUUCAGACUGAAGAUGCAGGAGUUUAUUACUGUCAGCAGCAUAACAGCUUCCCGUUCACACAGUGA